AAAAACUGUAUGUAAGUAAGAAAACUUUAUUUAUAAAGCACCUUUCAAAACCAGGGUUACAAGGUGCUGUACCGUAGCCUG